rnacentral:lncRNA from 1 species
GGAAGCCAGCAGCGGGGAGAGCUGGGGGGGGACCCUCUUCUGCUGCGCCCCAAUCCCUCCUCCCCUCACCCCUACACCCUUGCAUCAGACAGAGGGGCCGCUCCACCACCCCACGCCCCCACUCCAAGGCAGUGGCGAUGUUUUCCGGACCCCAAAUCAAGAGCCUGGUGUGAGAGGCAGGGUGUUUGGAAACAUUGUCAGAAGGAACAGGAAUGAUAAACAGAGCUCUGCACUGGGAAGGAAAGGAAGCCGAGAGGACCCAUCUGAGAGAUCAGGUGAGGGAACCGAGGCACAGAGAGGUUAAGUGAGUUGCCCACAGUCACCCAGAGAACGAGCCGCACGCAGUGCCCGCAUUUAAACCCUCAUGCUGACUCCAAGAGAAGGCGAAAGUGUCCAGCUCACCCGUACCGGAAGAGGAAAGGGGUGACAGGGGACAGCAGCCCAGAGCACCUCGGGAAGUGACUGGGGGCAGGGCCGGGACCAGGUCAGGCAAGCGAGGAGCACGAGGUAAG